AUUGAACGCUGGCGGCAUGCCUUACACAUGCAAGUCGAACGGUAACAGGUCUUCGGAUGCUGACGAGUGGCGAACGGGUGAGUAAUACAUCGGAACGUGCCUAGUAGUGGGGGAUAACUACUCGAAAGAGUGGCUAAUACCGCAUGAGAUCUACGGAUGAAAGCAGGGGAUCGCAAGACCUUGUGCUACUAGAGCGGCCGAUGGCAGAUUAGGUAGUUGGUGGGAUAAAAGCUUACCAAGCCGACGAUCUGUAGCUGGUCUGAGAGGACGAUCAGCCAAGCUGGGACACAGACACGACCCAGACUCCUACGGGAGGCAGCAGUGGGUAAUUUUGGACAAUGGGCGAAAGCCUGAUCCAGCAAGGCCGCGUGCAGGAUGAAGGCCUUCGGGUUGUAAACUGCUUUUGUACGGAACGAAAAGCCCCGGGUUAAUACCCUGGGGUCAUGACGGUACCGUAAGAAUAAGCACCGGCUAACUACGUGCCAGCAGCCGCCGUAA
rnacentral:rRNA from 1 species